rnacentral:sRNA from 1 species
AGAGGGCGGGAGAGAGGAAAGGAAGGAGGGCAUUGGGAGCUGAGGCCCCACCUUUCAUUUCAGAAAAGUGCACAGGCAGAGCGGGCUGAGUCACAGGCACAGGUGAGGAACUCAACUCAAACUCCUCUCUCUGGGAAAACGCGGUGCUUGCUCCUCCUGGAGUGGCCCUGGCAGGGUGUUGGAGCCCUUGGUCUGCCCGGUCUGGUCUCUGGGGCCAAGGCUGGGUUUCCCUCAUGUAUGGCAAGAGCUCUACUCGUGCGGUGCUUCUUCUUGGCAUACAGCUCACAGCUAUUUGGCCUACAGCAGCUGUGGAAAUUUAUACCUCCCGGGUGCUGGAGGCUGUUAAUGGGACAGAUGCUCGGUUAAAAUGCACUUUCUCCAGCUUUGCCCCUGUGGGUGAUGCUCUAACAGUGACCUGGAAUUUUCGUCCUCUAGAUGGGGGACCUGAGCAGUUUGUAAGUAGAUUAUCGUCAUUUUCCAGGGUACUCUUGUUUAGGGAAAUAAUAAGCCAGUCCAUUUCUCCUUUCCCUUCCAGUAUUUUUCUUAGCAGCAAGCACAAGGUUAAGCUCGGAAACAAUUCUUGGGACAGAGACUGAGAGGCCAUUGAAGGGGAAAGCAAGUGACCGAGCCACAGACAGGACAGUUGGGUUUGCUGGCGUUUCACUUCUGUUCCCACCAUCUUGGCCUCCUUGCCUGGGUGCUGAGUAAGAAGACCUUUUGCCAUUUCCCCUCUCUAGGUAUUCUACUACCACAUAGAUCCCUUCCAACCCAUGAGUGGGCGGUUUAAGGACCGGGUGUCUUGGGAUGGGAACCCUGAGCGGUAUGAUGCCUCCAUCUUUCUCUGGAAACUGCAGUUCGACGACAAUGGGACAUACACCUGCCAAGUGAAGAACCCACCUGAUGUU